rnacentral:rRNA from 1 species
CCUACGGGGGGCAGCAGUGAGGAAUAUUGGUCAAUGGCCGCAGGGCUGAACCAGCCAAGUCGCGUGAGGGAUGACGGUCCUAUGGAUUGUAAACCUCUUUUGUCAGGGAGCAAAGGGCGCCACGUGUGGCGUUUUGCGAGUACCCGAAGAAAAAGCAUCGGCUAACUCCGUGCCAGCAGCCGAGGUAAUACGGGGGAUGCGAUGGUUAUCCGGAUUUAGUGGGGUUAAAGGGUGCCCAGGCGGAAUGUCAAGUCAGCGGUAAAAUUUCGGGGCCCAACCCCCGCGUGCCGUUGAAAAUGGCGUUCUUGAGUGAGCGAGAAGUAUGCGGAAUGCGUGGUGUAGCGGUGAAAUGCAUAGAUAUCACGCAGAACUCCGAUUGCGAAGUCAGCAUACCGGCGCUCAACUGACGCUCAUGCACGAAAGCGUGGGUAUCGAACAGGAUUAGAUACCCCAGUAGUC